GGCGCGAUAGCCAAGCGGCUAGGCAGUGGAUUGCAAAUCCAUCUACACCGGUUCGAAUCCGGUUCGCGCCUCCA
rnacentral:tRNA from 1 species